rnacentral:tRNA from 1 species
AGUCAUGUGGCGUAACGGAUUUCAAACGUCUCGGUUAUCAUUCGAGAGGCCGUGGGUUCGAAUCCUGCCGUGCCUG